rnacentral:tRNA from 1 species
GCCUAGAUAGCCCAACAGGUAGAGGCACCGGAUUUAGGUUCCGGACAGUGAGAGUUCGAAUCCCUCUCUAGGCA